UACGUAGGGUGCGAGCGUUAAUCGGAAUUACUGGGCGUAAGGCGUGCGCAGGCGGUUCGCUGUGUCCGAUGUGAAAGCCCCGGGCUUAACCUGGGAAUGGCAUUGGAAACUGGCGGGCUUGAGUGCGGCAGAGGGGGGUGGAAUUCCGCGUGUAGCAGUGAAAUGCGUAGAGAUGCGGAGGAACACCGAUGGCGAAGGCAGCCCCCUGGGUCGACACUGACGCUCAGGCACGAAAGCGUGGGGAGCAAACAGG
rnacentral:rRNA from 1 species